rnacentral:rRNA from 1 species
CUUGUGCCAAGCAGCCGCGGUAAUUCCAGCUCUAAUAGCGUAUAUUAAAGUUGUUGCAGUUAAAAAGCUCGUAGUUGGAUUUUGGUGUCGGACAGGCGGUCGGCUUUUGUCGUACUGCCCUUCUGACGCCUUCCUUCUGUGGACUGCGUCACUCUUAACUGAGGGGCGUGUGGACGCAGAUCGUUUACUGUGAGUAAAUUAGAGUGUUCAAAGCAGGCCUUACGCUUGAAUACAUUAGCAUGGAAUAAUAGAAUAGGACGUCGGGCCUAUUUUGUUGGUUUAGGGACCGUCGUAAUGAUUAAUAGGGACAGUUGGGGCCGUUCAUAUUCCGUAGUCAGAGGUGAAAUUCUUGGAUUUACGGAAGAUGAACUACUGCGAAAGCAUUCGGCAAGGAUGUUUUCGUUAAUCAAGAACGAAAGUUAGGGGAUCGAAGACGAUCAGAUACCGUCGUAGUCUUAACCAUAAACUAUGCCGACUCGGGAUCAGCAAGUGUCGUUCACGACCUCGCUGGCACCGUGUGAGAAAUCAAAGUCUUUGGGUUCCGGGGGGAGUAUGGUCGCAAGGCUGAAACUUAAAGGAAUUGACGGAAGGGCACCACCAGGAGUGGAGCCUGCGGCUUAAUUUGACUCAACACGGGGAAACUCACCAGGUCCAGACAUAGCGAGGAUUGACAGAUUGACAGCUCUUUCUUGAUUCUAUGGGUGGUGGUGCAUGGCCGUUCUUAGUUGGUGGAGUGAUUUGUCUGGUUAAUUCCGAUAACGAACGAGACCUCAGCCUACUAAAUAGUAACGCCUGCUUCGGCAGGUGGAUUACUUCUUAGAGGGACUUUUCGAGUCAUCGAAAGGAAGUUUGAGGCAAUAACAGGUCUGUGAUGCCC